rnacentral:other from 1 species
GAUUUCCUAAGAUGUUCGCCAAGCUUAUGAUUUCAACCUACAUUAUAUAUUCGGGAUUUGUGAUAUACUUAUGGCUGUCGGGCUUCAUUUAGUCAUUUAAAUGCAGAAGAUGACAAAAGUAAGUUGAACUUAACCCACCUGCGAGACGCAGGUGUGAAUAAUAAGCAAACGGCAUGUUGGGAUCUAU